AUACACAGGAGACAGGGAGCCGAUCCCCAACAUAGUUCCGCUGCACAGUUUUUAUUCCAUCAGUGUGAAUUUAGUCAGGUCCUGACCACUCUCAUCCUCGAGCAUAUCAUCACACAGUUGCCCCUGCAACUGCUUCAGUAAAGCAGACUAAGAUCUACAUGGAGCCUCAUCCUGUCUUCAGAUACUCCCCUUUGCAGUUUGUACAGAUUAAACCAUGUCUUGUAACUCUGGAGAAGAUGAAACUCCCAGUGAACUUGUAAUGGACAGCCCUGAAGACACAUGCAAUAACCACUGAGUCUCAUCCAAGAGAGCAGGGAAGUUCCUGGAAUGUAGGCCAGUCAUUUCAAUCUAACAAAAAACAGGACAGAUGCCACGUCGCUGGUUUACUGCUGUGCAGCUCCUCCAGCUUAUACAAACUGAACAUCAUCACAGGAAGGAACAGACUUCAUAAUAAUACGAAGUUCUAUGCCAUUUAAUUCAAACCACUUUACAAAUACCAUUUAAAAAAUAAAACCUGAGCGACAAAAGCAAAUUAUAGACAGGACUGCCUCACUUCUAAGAAAUGCAGCUGACAUUACACCACAAUCCAAAGUCAAGAAAAAGACUGGCUAUCAAGCCAGCCUGGAACUAUAUUCGACAGCUGAAGUUUAAUAUUUGCAGUUAUGAGAACUAUUUCUGAAAAUAUUUCAGGUAUUUUAUAUCAUUUGUUGUAAAUCAUUGAUAUUCUUCUGACCAUAUACACAGAAAAAUCUGCAGUCUCUGAAGAAAGGAAAGCCUCUGAACUUUACAAACGUGGAGACAGAUGAACAAAUCUUUGCAACUACCAUUUCCAUGAGUGUGAUGUCCAGUAUGUUGUCAUACACAGCUUAACUUGCUAACUCAAGAAAAGGGAAGCUUUCAGUUGUAAAAACACAAACUAAAAGUCAGAACAGACAUACCUCCGAUUAUUGAAUUAUUUGGUAAACAGUGGGUUGGGUGACAUUUGCCAACUGAAGAGCAACUGGCAUAAAACAGUACUCACAAUUUAAGAGAUUAUGUUUAAGAAACCAGGAGGGUCUUCUGUCACUAUCUACAUCCUGACCAGGCAAUGGUGUGAGCAGACAGGCAGAAAUCAGUUUAUUCACGGACAGCUGUUCUUUAUCAGCUUCAUCUGAAUGCUCACAUAAACAACAUGUAGAAUUAUGAUAGACAUACACAAAGACAAUACCCCAAUAUUUCACUUACAAACUAAAGUUUUGCUGGUUUGAAAUAUAUUAGCAAUAGGUAUAUAUAUUUUAAUACUAACAGUCUACUCUGUGCUGAGACUAACAAAACUUCAGACCUUAUGCAAGGAAACUUAGAGUCAAGGACACACCAAGAACUUCCACACAAAUCUAUGCUUACAGAUCUUAUUGCAGAAGCAAGGUUGGAGAUGGCAGUCAAAUCUAAGAAAACAAAGUUAGAUAUGUAUUUAGAGGAACGGGAAAGAAGACUAAGGCACUUCCUGCACUGUGCAUUCUCUCACAAUCAUUUAACACUAUUGCACAACUGCAGAGUUGCAUCUGCAACCAGAACAAAAACAUUUAGCACUCUCAGCAUGUAUUUCAGUGCAAAAAGCAAUACAAAACCCAGUGCUAUCACCAGUUUAUAUAAUCUAAACACAGUUAAUAUUCCCACAGAGAAACAAAGUCCAAAGAAAUGAAUACAUCAUCUAAAAUCCUUGCGCUGACCCAUAGUCCCCAGCUUAGUGCUGAUCAUUGAAAUGCCUAGUAAAUACGUAGAGUUAACACAUCAGUGCUGAUGAGAGAGUUAAUAACUUCUUAAGUUACAGCGUCACACUGCCUCCAAACUCAGGCAGGCAUUGACACUACCUGAUGUUUGGUAUUUUUUCCACAGCUCUUUACAGUAUAAAAGCAGGGUUUUGCUUUGAUUAGAUUCUUCCAGAGCACAGUUCCAUAUGAAUGGAUGCAUAUUUUAACUAAAGAUGACAUGGAGUCCCAUCUGCUUUGUUGUAUUUUUCUGUAAAUGCUGAUCCUGCUGAUCUGUUAAGGGACAAACACAAACAUCUUUCUUUACUAAAUGUAGUAACUAUGGAUUACGCCUUCCUAACUUGAUCAGUUAUAGCUCCAUUUCUCUCUUCCAACUGAAAAUUUCCAUAAAGAUGCAGAAAUACUCAGAUACAUAAUUUAAAGAGAAGUCUUAAGAACCAUUAGGUUUAUUUCCAGGCAAAGAUGGCUCCCAGUUGUUUUCCUUGCACAGUCAUCUUUCCCUAGUUAUCUUCAGCAUGCAUAAUAGACACUACUCCUUUCUUUUACUUGAUUCUGUAUGGAUGCACUGAAUCCUUAAAAUGCAUCCAGUCACAAUACAGUAGUUUUGGGGGAAGAAUUUGUCAGAAAAAUGUCAUCUGUAUUUGCAGUGCUCUAUAAAUGAAGAUAUCACCAAUCUGAUACACUCUAGGUCAACUCUUCUUUUCUUUGGUGGUCACUUUUCAGCAACUGAAAUCACAAGGCAUAAAGUCAAUAGAUAUUCGAGCUAUUUAAAUAGCUCAAAGGAUAAAGGUCAUGCCUCUGAUGCAAUUUAUCUUUACAGGAAGCCACUCAAAUCUUGGAAACCACUACCUUGGAGAUAGCAGAUUCUGGGGGUUGUAUAGAUAAGAGAUCAAUUCUCAGUAAUUUAAAGUUCUCUUAAAUAGUCAGCCCAGACAGGAAAGAUUCCAGUUUAAUUAACUACAGGCUUAAACCUACAGAGGGGCAUUCUGCAUCUCUUGAGACCACUGCACACCUUUUGCAAAGGAAAGCUGGAGGCAUCUUCUGAGAAUAAACAUCAAGACCACAGCUGCUCUGUUUCAAACUUGCCCCCACAGUGCCCAGAUCUCUGCAGAGUGCAGCACCCACCGUUUUUGCUACAACAGUCAGAAAGUUCUUGAUUCCUUAACAUGGGAACAUCAGCAUGUUGUUACUCCCAGACAUUUCUUUCUUCACUUUUCAAUGUUUUCUCUGUGCUAUCUGUCAUCACCUUGUUUUCUCAUUUUCCUUUUAAUUAAAGAUUAUUAUUCAAAGGAGGAAAUGUAGCACAAUUUGAGAAUUCAUUCAGCAUGUAUAGAGAUGCAUGUGGUCUACUGACUUAUACAAAGGAUCAGGAGACAAGAUGCUCAUAAGACCUAGUCUGACAGUCUCUUCUGGUCUUUGUGCAAGUCACUUAAGGUCAAAUGCCUUUCCCUUCCCAUGCUCAGAAUUUCCAAAUGGGAUCAAAUACCUUAGGACAGAAGAAAGGAUUACUCCACUAG
ensembl:lncRNA